CUGUUCCUGUUGGUGUUCGUUUCCCUUUUCUCCCCUGUGUGUGUUGUUUGUGUCUGUCUCCCCCUGCUGUGCAGUCAGAGGUUCUUGGUCAGCGGGCGUGGCCAUUCUAUCACCAGAGCAGUUACAUCAAGCUGCAGCUCAUUGGCACCAAUCAAGCAGCAGAUAUCUACCCGGGCUGGACACCUCUCCAGCGCCAGUUCGUUCCUACACUUCCAGUGAUCUCUUCUGUUCCUGCUGCCUGCCUGCCUGCCUGCCAUUCCCACGCCGCUACCUGAUCCUCUGUUGCCUGACAUCCUCGUUAUCCAGCUCUCAGGACUACUGGCUCUCCACCCCACUCAGCUCCUACCCCAGCCUGAAGCUACUUCACCCUGACUACUUCUCUCUGCCAAUACACGUUGAAUAAACUACAUCCUAAUUUUA